AUGAAAUAUCAAGAAAAUUACUUUUUUUUGUCAAGUUUCUUUAAUGUGCUGAGAAUGUUCCAAAGCCAAGCAACUAUCCUUCACCACUCCCAGAAAGUUGUGGGAAGAUUGUAUGAAAAAUAACCAUAGGAUAACCACACUCUCUACAACCUCUCAGAAAAUAUGGUUCUCCGAACAGUAUGUGCUAGCAGGGUUGUCUCUAAGUAUUCACACCCAUCCAUUGGACACCAUUACAAUAUCUGACAUUUUGUUUCACUAUGUUUAUGUGUGGUCUUCCUUAUUCUGUGGAAGCCUUGCUGUCGGGACAUGAUCGUAAACAAGGGAAGUGGAAAUGCUGUGUCAGUUAUGCUUUUUGAAAUGUAGGGGGGAACCUGCUUGAGAAAUGAAUGCGGUGUGUGAGUUUGCGUGUUUGCUCUGUCUCUGUUGACAGGAAGCAGCGUGGACAGUAACUUACGAGUGCAUUCAGAUCAUGGGAGGCAUUGGCUUCAUGAAGGUGAGAUGUCUCAGAAUGCAGUCUAUUUGUUAUUCAGUUCUGAGAACACUCAUCGUUCUUGGUGUGGUUGAGCGCUGCAUGUCACGUUACAGAACAACCACCAGGCCCCAGAGGCUGCAUUUAGACAAGCAGCCCAAUUCUGAUAUUUUUUUCACUAAUUGGUCUUUUUACCAAUCAGAUUGGCUCUAAAAAAAAAGAUUGGAUGUGAAAAGAUCGGAUGUCCUUGGCCAAUUAGUGGAAAAAAAUAUCAGAAUUCGGCUGCCUCUGUGAACGCAGCCUUUGACACACAUAGACACACACGCACAGCAACACCACACAGCUCAGAAACCUCAUUCGUGUUGAAACAGCAGGCUGUUGUAAGGGGGUGGUGGAAACAUUGUAGGGGUGUUAAGGAAAAGAUAGCUGGAGGUGAGGGUAGAAACAAGACGACUCGCUGUGCUAUAAAUACACCAGACACAAUGUAGGUCACUGUUUGUAAAGGUCCUGACUAAGAUGUUUGUGGAUCUUAACAUUGUCAACAAAGGUGGUAAUAUGGAGCAUAUUCCGUGUGCAGGUGGAAUAGCCAAUAAAAUCUAUGCACAAGACGUAACAGAUUACAAUUGUACUCACUAACCCUGGUCCAGGAGAGCCCCAGGGUGGGUUGACUUUUGUUCCAGCCCAGCACUAAUUCACACGAUUCGACCAGGCCUAAUCGAUCAUGUGUGUUAGUGCUGUGAUGGAGCAAAAGCCUGCACACCAUGUAGUUCCCCUGUACCACCGCAACUGGCAACUGCUGCAAUUCGUAAUUUAUUACUUGUUUAGUUGUACUGUUACCACUAGUCUAUGGAAUACAGCAUGUCAGGUAAGUAUUACUGGAAGAUAUCGCUACCACACCAUGGCCACUCUAACUUACAUCUGGCCAAUGUGUAUGUGAGGGCGGUGGACUCUACAGUAGCUAUUCUCAACUGGUGGGUGGUCGCGGGAAGUUUUGAAUGGGUUAGUUUGCGACUAAGACGACCUGCUUUAAUUUGGGUCACGAUUGAAACCAGUUGAGAACCACUGCUUUACAGUAUGUAUAACCCAGUCUAUUUUUAGAACAGACAUCAUAGUUCUUCCACUGUGCACACUGUCUUCUCAGAGCGAUAGUGUCACAUAACCUCCUCAAUGCAAGCUGAGGCUCUGUUGCAUCAUAUAGCUAAGACUGACUACCAAUAAUAUUCAUGCGUGAAGCAUCCAACUGGCCAAAUGGUUCACUGUUCAAUGGAUAGUUUAGAAAGUAAAAUGUCUAAAUUGUUCAAUUGAGCUUCAUGCAUGAAUAGUAUUGGUAGUCAGUCUUAGCUACAUUUUCAGAGCCAACCUCCUUAACUUGACAUUUUGACAUGUUCUGUUUGUGUGUGUGUUUGCUUGGAUACAGGAUUCCAGAGUCGAGCAAGUUCUAAUGUCUAAGAAUCUUCCGGAUCUUCGAAGGGACCAAUGUCAUAAUCUGGCUAUUCGUGGCACAACAGAGGUUCAAUGGUUAAUAUGUAGAAUACUAGGAAGCAAAGAUUUGAUAAGACAUACGAGGCUACAAUUCUCUGUUACUAAUAAUAAUUCUGUGUAAGUGCUGAUAAUUACUCAGCAGUCUUUUAUCAGAAUGUAAAGUCACUAACUGUACUGUUGUGAACAGGACGUGUUUUCCGUUUGAUAGUGAGUGCACUGUUGUAUUAACAUUUCCUCUGCUGUGUAAUAGCAUUUCCUGUGCUAUGUAAUAGCACUUCCUGUAUGGACUCUAUUAAGUACAAUAACUUCCUGUAUGGACUGUAUUAGCUGCAAUAACUAUUACAGCAUUACUCCACCAUUAUAGAAUUACACCACUAUAGCAUUAAGACGUGAAUCUAGCUAUACAAAAAAACAAAGUGUGUGUGUACAGAAUGCUGGUAACCAGCUGAGGAGCCUAUAGAUGGCUCUGAAGAAACCACUGGGCAACACUAGGGAGCUGGCUGGAGAACUCACCAAGAGCUUGGUGACGCAUUCACACUCCUUCAAAAUACGCAGUACACACACACACUUUAUGAACACAUCUCUCCUCUCUCUCUGUGUAAGAAGGCCGGUUUGGACACAGGGCUGACACUGCAUGGAACUGUUCACCCAGAACUGGCCACCAGUGGAGAACUGGUGAAUGUAAUAGAGAGAGACAUACUGAUCUGUCUGUCAGUAUGGAUGAAAUGGAUGUUUGUUUAUAUACCUGUAUACUUGGUUGGUCUUUUAUAUCUGUUAUAUAUCUUGCUCAUUCUGCCUCCUUUAUGGUUUCUCUCAGUCUGUAUUCUGUAAACAAUUCCAUCCAUUGAGCAGUUUGGAGCCCUUGUUGAAGAGCCGCUCCUCAAACACAGGAAGAGGAUCCUACUUUAGAUGAGCAGUUUGUGCUGAAGACUGUCGCUGACCUGUACGCCAUGGUGGUCUUCCUGUCUAGGGCGUUCCGCUCCCUGAGUCAGGGUCACCUGUCGGCCCAGCAUCAGAAUUGUGAGACCUGUUGUAAUGGAGGUGUGCAGGUGCAAGGUUCUGUCUGAUUAUAGAUGAAGACAAGUAUUCCAUCUGCCUUUCUCCCCAUCAUACUCAUUUAACCUUUUCUCCCCCUUCUCUUCUCCUUCCCUAUUUCUCUCCUCUCCUUCUGUCAGGCCGAUGAGAGGAUCAUGCAAGUGUCUGCGCCCCAGCAACUCCAAGCAGAUCUUCAAGAACCCGAGGGCCAUCUCUACAGCUGUGGUGGAGAACGGCGGGGUGGUCUCCCCUCCAGCUCAAUGGGCUUCUAAAUGCCCUCUCUCCUCCCUCCCUCUUCAUUUAUUUCUCUCCUCUCCUUCUAUUUUUCUCCUUCUUUCCUCUUUAUCAACUCUGCUCUUACCCGCUCUCUCAUCCUCCCCUCUUUCCCUUCCCCUACCAUUCCGAACUCUACCUCUCUGACCUACCUCUCCAUCUCUCCCACCCCUGCUCUUUGUCUUCUAAGUCAGUUAUAUUAUCCUCCAUAUAGCGCCAACUCCUGAACAUAACACCUGACUCCAUCCUGAGAAAUAUAUACUUCCAUUAUUAACUGGUCGAUGCAAAGAUGGUUAUGAAUGUGUGUCUAGAAUUGGAAAUCCAAUGCUGGAACUUGACUGCACUGAAUGGUAUGGGAUUGAGGUUGGAGUUCUCAAAUGCACUAUGAAUGUUAAAGCGCUUAUGUACAGCGGCUUCGGAAAGCAUUCAGAGCCCUUGACUUUUUCCACAUUUUGUUACGUUACAGCCUUAUUCUAAAAUGGAUUAAAUAAAACAUUUGUCAGAGCAAAAGCCAAGCCAUGCGCUCGAAGGAAUUCAAUCAAUCAAUCAAUCAAGUUUAUUUUAUAUAGCCCUUCGUACAUCAGCUAAUAUCUCGAAGUGCUGUACAGAAACCCAGCCUAAAACCCCAAACAGCAAGCAAUGCAGGUGUAGAAGCACGGUGGCUAGGAAAAACUCCCUAGAAAGGCCAAAACCUAGGAAGAAACCUAGAGAGGAACCAGGCUAUGAGGGGUGGCCAGUCCUCUUCUGGCUGUGCCGGGUGGAGAUUAUAACAGAACUAUGCCAAGAUGUUCAAAAUGUUCAUAAGUGACAAGCAUGGUCAAAUAAUAAUCAUGAAUAAUUUUCAGUUGGCUUUUCAUAGCCGGUCAUUAAGAGUUGAAAACAGCAGGUCUGGGACAGGUAGGGGUUCCAUAACCGCAGGCAGGACAGUUGAAACUGGAAUAGCAGCAAGGCCCGGUGGACUGGGGACAGCAAGGAGUCAUCAUGCCCGGUAGUCCUGACGUAUGGUCCGAGGGCUCAGGUUCUCCGAGAGAGAGAAAGAAAGAGAGAAGGAGAGAAUUAGAGAGAGCCAAGAUUUUCAAAAUGUUCAUAAAUGACAAGCAUGGUCAAAUAAUAAUCAGGAAUAAAUGUCAGUUGGCUUUUUAUAGCCGAUCAUUAAGAGUUGAAAACAGCAGGUCUGGGACAGGUAGGGGUUCCAUAACCGCAGGCAGAACAGUUGAAACUGGAACAGCAGCAAGGCCAGGCGGACUGGGGACAGCAAGGAGUCAUCAUGCCCGGUAGUCCUGACGUAUGGUCCUAGGGCUCAGGUUCUCCGAGAGAGAGAAAGAAAGAGAGAAGGAGAGAAUUAGAGAGAGCCAAGAUUUUCAAAAUGUUCAUAAAUGACAAGCAUGGUCAAAUAAUAAUCAGGAAUAAAAGUCAGUUGGCUUUUCAUAGCCGAUCAUUAAGAGUUGAAAGCAGCAGGUCUGGGACAGGUAGGGGUUCCAUAACCGCAGGCAGAGCAGUUGAAACUGGAACAGCAGCAAGGCCAGGUGGACUGGGGACAGCAAGGAGUCCUCAUGCCCGGUUUGCCGUGACGUAUGGUCCUAGGGCUCAGGUUCUCAGAGAGAGAAAGAAAGAGAGAACGAGAGAAUUAGAGAGAGCAUACUUAAAUUCACACAGGACACUGGAUAAGACAGAAGUACUCCAGGUAUAACCAACUGACCCUAGCCCCCCGACACAUAAAUUACUGCAGCAUAAAUACUGGAGGCUGAGACAGGAGGGGUCAGGAGACACUGUGGCCCCAUCCGAAGAUACCCCCGGACAGGGCCAAACAGGAAGGAUAUAACCCCACCCACUUUGCCAAAGCACAGCCCCCGCACCACUAGAGGGAUAUCUUCAACCACCAACUUACAAUCCUGAGACAAGGCCGAGUAUAGCCCACAAAGAUCUCCACCACAGCACAAACCGAGGGUUCUACGGAAUUGUCCGUAGAGCACCGAGACAGGAUUGUGUCGAGGCACAGAUCUGGGGAAGGGUACAAAAAAAAUGUAUGCAGCAUUGAAGGUCCCCAAAUACACAGUGGCCUCCAUCAUUCUUAAAUGGAUUAAGUUUGGAACCACCAAAACUCUUCCUAGAGCUGGCCGCCCGGCCAAACAGAGCAAUUGGGGGAGAAGGGUCUUGGUCACGGAGGUGAACAAGAACCCGAUGGUCACUCUGACAGAGCUCUAGAGUUCCUCUAUGGAGAUGGGAGAACCUUCCAGAAGGACAACCAUAUCUGCAGCACCCCACCAAUCAGGCCUUUAUGGUAGAGUAACCAGACGGAAGCCACUCCACAGUAAAAGACACAUGGCAGCCCGCUUGGAGUUUGCCAAAAGAGAUCUAAUGACUCUCAGACCAUGAGAAACAAGAUUCUCUGGUCUGAUAAAACCAAGAUUGAACGCUUUGGCCUGAAUGCCAAGUGUCAUGUCUGGAGGAAACCUGGCACAACCCCUAUGGUGAAGCAUGGUGGUGGCAGCAUCAUGCUGUGGGGAUGUUUUUCAGUGGCAGGGGCUGGGAGACUAGUCAGGAUCGAGGCAAAGAUGAACGGAGCAAAGUACAGAGAGAUCCUUGAUGAAAACCUGCUCCAGAGCGCUCAGGACCUCAGACUGGGGCGAAGGUUCACCUUCCAACAGGAGAAUGACCCUAAGCAAACAGCCAGGACAACGCAGGAGUGGCUUCGGGACAAGCCUCUGAAUGUCCUUGAGUGUCCCAGCCAGAGCCCCGAUUGAACAUCUAUGGAGAGACCUGAAAAUAGCUGUACAGCGACGCUCCCCAUCCAACCUGACAGAGCUUGAGAGGAUCUGCAGAGAAGAAUGUGAGAAACUUUCCAAAUACAGGUGUGCCAAGCUUGUAGCGUCAUUCACAAGGCUGUAAUCACUGCCAAAGGUGCUUCAACAAAGUACUGAGUAAAGGGUCUGAAUGCUUAUGUAAAUGUAAUUUUUUCUAUAUUUUUUAAUUAUUAUUAUCAAACAAUUCUAAACCCUGUUUUUUAUGACAAUUUUAAAAAAAAAUACUUAACAAAAUGUACAAAAAGUCAAGGGGUCUUAAUACUUUCCGAAUGCACUUUAUGUAAUGUCUUCAGGAUUGUCCUAUAGUAUAUCUGAAUGUUCAUCCUAGUAUAACACUGCAAGCUAGUAUGAUCAGUUCUCCUCUUUUAAUUUGAUUUGUACCAUGAAUGCAACAUGAAUGCAAUGUUGAUAACAUUUUGCAUUCAGUAAGCUGAAUGAGAGAAUUUAACUAACUAGGAAGUCUGAGCGUUGGGCCAGUAACCGAAAGGUUGCUGGAACGAAUCCCCGAGCUGACAAGGUAAAAAUCUGUCGUCCUGCCCCUGACCAAGGCAGAUAACUCACUGUUCCCCGGGCGCCGAAGACGUGGAUGUCGAUUAUGGCAGCCCCCCGCACCUCUCCGAUUCAGAGGGGUUGGGUUAAAUGCAGGAGACACAUUUCAGUUGAACGCAUUCAGAUGUACAACUGACUAGGUAUCACCCUUUCCCUAACCCUUCAAACAUUCAUGCCCUUCCAUGUCAAUCUGUGGAUUUUGUUUAGAAUAUAUUAAUGCAUUGCUGGGCUUCUGGAGUGCCUUAAGAAAGUGGAUGUGUUUUCCCUCACCCAUCUACACACAAUACACCAUAAUGACAAAGUGAAAACAUGUUUUAAGAUAUGUUUGCAAAUUUAUUGAAAAUUAAAUGCAAAAAUAUUGAAUUUAUGUAAGUAUUCACACCCCUGAGACAAUACAUGUUAGAAUAAUAUUUGGUAGAGAUUACAGCUGUGAGUCUUUCUGGGUAAGUCUGUAAAAGCUUUGCACACUUGGAUUGUACAAUAUUUGCACAUUAUUAAAAUUCUUAAAUCUC